CCACGAAUCUGGAUCUUCCACUUUAACGUAAUCAGUGUACUGUGCACAAACAUAAACGAACUGCAUUCUUCACCUUUAUGAGACACAUAUACGUGCAUUAUCUGGGGAAAAACUAUUUUAAGGAAACGCAACUUACAAUGUAAUCUUGUCAUUCUUGGUUUUCGUUUUAUUCUGAGCCACGGAAACAUCCUUCGAAUUACGAUAGUAAAAAUACUACGAGAUAAGACACUUAAACUAGGUCGUACGGAGGUAUUUGAUUGAAACAUGAAACACUUGCAAGAUAAUAUAGUGUGCAGGAUAUCCUCAAAGUUUAUACGAAAUCUAAUUCGUUGAAGCCAACGUAACUUUUUGUAUAAAAGACCGACGAAUGAAGAGGAAUGCAAGAAACCGAACGGGUGGUACUGACACGACGUCGACGCUCGGCGUCGCGACGCUCGUGCCCUACUAACCCGCAUUUCGUGCACGAUGCUACCCUUGGCAAUACUUUUCCUGACUACGUCACGCGAUGUACACGCGCCUGUGCAAGAGGGUUGUCGACGUGGAACAGGGUGCGGGAGGAGAACAACCCCGUGGCGUCUCUGCUAAUAAAGCUUAUCCUCGUCAGGGUCGCGGUCCAUGUAAAUCAAUGCCGAAAGAGGGUGGAAUAUUGUCACGGCUGACCAAAUACAGCGGCUCACGAAAGUAUGUGAACUGUCUUAGAAACUCUGUGUAUACAAUCCGGCCCGAGUGUUUGAAACAUCUUUUGCUUUUUCGACAAACGUUUUCGUAUAUCUGUUCGAGAAACAAGAGGAAGGUAUCGCAUGUAUUACAAUUAUAGAUUUCAUCUCUAAAUAUCAUUACGAAUUUGUUUUACGUUGAAACGAUUGCGAAUUUUUAUGAAUUUAUAACAAAUUUGAAAUUACGAAAUUGCACAGAAUGCACAUAAUACGAACAGAUGUAUGAAAUAUUCAAAGUAUAGCGCUUCCUAUAAUACUUGACAGAUGAAACAAUUUUCUAUCGAGGAUCUACGUUUCUAAUUGUAUUCUCUGCAAUAUGAAUUUGCACAAACAUUCGCAGUCUUCCAAUUAUAAUUCCAACACUAUCAAAGAAUAACAUUAUGAAUAAAACAGUCAUUUACUAAAGGUAGUCAUUAUCUUUUAUGAUCUCUAUGAUGUCUUUUAAGAUCUUUUGAGACCGAGACAUACUAAAAAUUUUCAAGCCGGAGGAUAUACCUAAUUAAUGCUAUUUACAAUCUAGGUUGUACACAGUAUUUUCUUAAGAGAUAAAACAUCGUUUUUCGAAAUUAGUUCACAAAUUGUAUCUUGAGUUUGUUAGACCUUAGACUGAUAUUCUUAGAAUAGCAGUAAUAGCUCGAUGUAUUUGUACGUAGAUUGUAGAACUAGAAACUAAAACUAGAAACUAAUAGGUAAAUUAAUUUUUAGUACAGGACAAGAAUAAUAUGUAAAAGCAAACAUGAAGGUAAAAUAAAGAAAUGCAUAAAGCAAA